GAUGAACGCUGACAGAAUGCUUAACACAUGCAAGUCUUUGGCGAAGCUGUGCUUGCACAGCCUAGCCAAGGCGGACGGGUGAGUAACGCGUAAGGAACUUGCCCUGCAGUCAGGGAUAACAGACGGAAACGACUGAUAAGACCUGGUAAAGUCAGGCGGACUCACGUCCAGCCUGAUGAAAAGAGAUGCUGCAGGAGAGCCUUGCGUCCUAUUAGCUUGUUGGUGGGGUAACGGCCCACCAAGGCGAUGAUAGGUAGCCGGCCUGAGAGGGUGGACGGCCACAAGGGGACUGAGGUACGGCCCUUACUCCUACGGGAGGCAGCAGUGGGGAAUAUUGGACAAUGGGGGCAACCCUGAUCCAGCAAUUCUGUGUGCACGAUGAAGGUUUUCGGAUUGUAAAGUGCUUUCAGCAGGGAAGAAAAAAAUGACGGUACCUGCAGAAGAAGCGACGGCUAAAUACGUG
rnacentral:rRNA from 1 species